GUCCAUAGCCAUACCACUCUGAAUGCAUUCAAUUCUCAUCUAAUCUCACAAGCUAAGCAGGGUUGGGCCUGGUUAGAUAUUGCAUGGGAGAUUACUGGCU
rnacentral:rRNA from 1 species